UGGGGAAUAUUGCACAAUGGGCGAAAGCCUGAUGCAGCGACGCCGCGUGAGGGAUGACGGCCUUCGGGUUGUAAACCUCUUUCAGCGGGGACGAAGCGCAAGUGACGGUACCUGCAGAAGAAGCACCGGCUAACUACGUGCCAGCAGCCGCGGUAAUACGUAGGGUGCAAGCGUUGUCCGGAAUUACUGGGCGUAAAGAGUUCGUAGGCGGUUUGUCGCGUCGUUUGUGAAAACCAGCAGCUCAACUGCUGGCUUGCAGGCGAUACGGGAAGACUUGAGUACUGCAGGGGAGACUGGAAUUCCUGGUGUAGCGGUGAAAUGCGCAGAUAUCAGGAGGAACACCGGUGGCGAAGGCGGGUCUCUGGGCAGUAACUGACGCUGAGGAACGAAAGCGUGGGUAGCGAACAGG
rnacentral:rRNA from 1 species